rnacentral:rRNA from 1 species
CCCUUAGAUGCUCUGGGCCGCACGCGCGCUACACUGGUCGAUGCAACGAGUUUCUUUCCUUGGCCGACAGGCCUGGGCAAUCUUUGAACAUCGAUCGUGAUCGGGAUAGAUUCUUGUAAUUUUUGAUCUUAAACGAGGAAUUCCUAGUAAACGCAAGUCAUCAGCUUGCAUUGAUUACGUCCCUGCCCUUUGUACACACCGCCCGUCGCACCUACCGAUUGAAUGGUCCGGUGAAAUCUCCGGACUGGCGUGAGUCGGAGCAAUCUGACAAACGCCGGAAAGUUGAUUAAACCUUACCAGUUAGAGGAAGGUGAAGUCGUAACA